rnacentral:rRNA from 4 species
CACAUGACUCUCGGCAACGGAUAUCUCGGCUCUCGCAUCGAUGAAGAACGUAGCAAAAUGCGAUACCUGGUGUGAAUUGCAGAAUCCCGUGAACCAUCGAGUUUUUGAACGCAAGUUGCGCCCGAGGCCUUCUGGUCGAGGGCACGUCUGCCUGGGCGUCACGU